UCGCUAUGGUAGUCCUGUUUGGUACGAGGGAAACUUUAAGUUCAGGAAAUUGAUAAAUGUGCCCGGUCAAAAGGCUAGUGGUAUGCGGAUACCAUCUGAGAGGUCAAGACUGAACACCUCAGAGUCUGCAUUCCAUCUAUAUUUGCGA
rnacentral:ncRNA from 1 species